CAUGCAAGUCGUACGCUUCUUUUUCCACCGGAGCUUGCUCCACCGGAAAAAGAAGAGUGGCGAACGGGUGAGUAACACGUGGGUAACCUGCCCAUCAGAAGGGGAUAACACUUGGAAACAGGUGCUAAUACCGUAUAACAAUCGAAACCGCAUGGUUUUGAUUUGAAAGGCGCUUUCGGGUGUCGCUGAUGGAUGGACCCGCGGUGCAUUAGCUAGUUGGUGAGGUAACGGCUCACCAAGGCCACGAUGCAUAGCCGACCUGAGAGGGUGAUCGGCCACAUUGGGACUGAGACACGGCCCAAACUCCUACGGGAGGCAGCAGUAGGGAAUCUUCGGCAAUGGACGAAAGUCUGACCGAGCAACGCCGCGUGAGUGAAGAAGGUUUUCGGAUCGUAAAACUCUGUUGUUAGAGAAGAACAAGGAUGAGAGUAACUGUUCAUCCCUUGACGGUAUCUAACCAGAAAGCCACGGCUAACUACGUGCCAGCAGCCGCGGUAAUACGUAGGUGGCAAGCGUUGUCCGGAUUUAUUGGGCGUAAAGCGAGCGCAGGCGGUUUCUUAAGUCUGAUGUGAAAGCCCCCGGCUCAACCGGGGAGGGUCAUUGGAAACUGGGAGACUUGAGUGCAGAAGAGGAGAGUGGAAUUCCAUGUGUAGCGGUGAAAUGCGUAGAUAUAUGGAGGAACACCAGUGGCGAAGGCGGCUCUCUGGUCUGUAACUGACGCUGAGGCUCGAAAGCGUGGGGAGCAAACAGGAUUAGAUACCCUGGUAGUCCACGCCGUAAACGAUGAGUGCUAAGUGUUGGAGGGUUUCCGCCCUUCAGUGCUGCAGCUAACGCAUUAAGCACUCCGCCUGGGGAGUACGACCGCAAGGUUGAAACUCAAAGGAAUUG
rnacentral:rRNA from 1 species